rnacentral:miRNA from 1 species
UUUAUAGUACAUGUAUGUUCCAAAUAUUGUAUGGGAUAUACAUAUACUAAAA